GUGAACGCUGGCGGUAGGCCUAACCCAUGCAAGUCGAACGGCAGCACAGUAAGAGCUUGCUCUUACGGGUGGCGAGUGGCGGACGGGUGAGGAAUACAUCGGAAUCUACUUUUUCGUGGGGGAUAACGUAGGGAAACUUACGCUAAUACCGCAUACUACCUACGGGUGAAAGCAGGGGAUCUUCGGACCUUGCGCGAUUGAAUGAGCCGAUGUCGGAUUAGCUAGUUGGCGGGGUAAAGGCCCACCAAGGCGACGAUCCGUAGCUGGUCUGAGAGGAUGAUCAGCCACACUGGAACUGAGACACGGUCCAGACUCCUACGGGAGGCAGCAGUGGGGAAUAUUGGACAAUGGGCGCAAGCCUGAUCCAGCCAUACCGCGUGGGUGAAGAAGGCCUUCGGGUUGUAAAGCCCUUUUGUUGGGAAAGAAAAGCAGCAGGUUAAUACCCCGCUGUUCUGACGGUACCCAAAGAAUAAGCACCGGCUAACUUCGUG
rnacentral:rRNA from 1 species